UAAUUUUUUUUCUCCCAACUAAUUAUUUAAAUUUUAAACAAAAAAAUCAAUAAUUUUUAUUUAAACUUCUAAAGUAUUAUAAACAGUGAUCAAAAAAUAUGUUGAAAGUAUUAAUAAAUUCCUUUGCUAACUCGUGCCGUAUAAGUGCAUCAAAAACUCGUGUUAUUUCAUCAUCUACAAAUAUAAUACGCCAUUAUUUUCACAGCACAUUGCUCCCAGUCACCAGUCCUAUUAAAUUAAGUCAUAGCUGCAGUUUCCAGACAUCAGCAAAAUUAUUAAAAAAUUCAUCUUUAUAUAUUGACCAAGAAGAAGAAGAAUUUGAAAAUAUGUCUCCUCAUGAUAGAAACUUCAACGGCGGCCGUGGCAAUGGUGGACGUGGUGGUCGCGAUGACCGUGGAAGCCGCGGUGGCGCAUCCGGUGGUGGUGGAGUUCGCAAUGGACGCAUAGACAAGCGCUCUGACCGUCGUGGUGGUGGAGGAGGAGGAGGUGGUGGAAUGGGUGGUGGCAAUCGCAACAAUGGUGGCGAUAUGGAGCUCUAUGACGUUGAUUGGUCCAAUCUGGAACCAUUUAAGAAGAACUUUUACCAAGAGCAUCCCAAAGUAGCCAAUCGUAAUCCACAAGAUGUCCAACGUUAUCGUGACCAACACGAAAUCACAAUUCGUGGCAGUGCCCCAAAUCCAAUUGAAGACUUCUCCGAAGUCAAUUUGCCCGAUUAUGUUGCCAAGGAGAUUAAACGUCAGGGUUACAAGGCUCCAACAGCAAUUCAAGCUCAAGGUUGGCCAAUCGCCAUGAGUGGUGACAAUCUUGUUGGUAUUGCCAAGACAGGUUCCGGCAAAACUCUGGGUUAUAUUCUCCCAGCUAUUGUCCAUAUCAAUAAUCAGAAGCCAUUGCAACGUGGUGAUGGGCCAAUUGCUCUUGUUUUGGCACCAACUCGUGAAUUGGCACAACAAAUUCAACAAGUUGCCACAGAAUUUGGUUCGUCAUCGUAUGUCCGUAAUACAUGUGUCUUUGGUGGAGCACCAAAAGGUGGUCAAGCUAGAGACUUGCAGCGUGGCUGUGAAAUUGUCAUUGCUACUCCUGGGCGAUUGAUUGAUUUCCUUGCUUCGGGAACAACCAACUUACAAAGAUGCACAUAUUUGGUGCUAGAUGAGGCUGAUCGUAUGUUGGAUAUGGGUUUCGAGCCUCAGAUUCGUAAGAUUCUCACACAAAUUCGCCCAGACAGACACACUUUGAUGUGGAGUGCGACAUGGCCACGUGAGGUUAAACAGUUGGCUGAGGAUUUCCUUGGCAGUUAUGUACAAAUUAAUAUUGGUUCGUUGGAAUUAUCUGCCAAUCAUAAUAUCAAACAAGUCGUUGAGGUUUGUGAUGAGCACGACAAGGAAGAAAAAUUAAAAACACUACUUUCCGAUAUCUACGACACAAGCGAAAAUCCCGGCAAAAUUAUUAUUUUCGUUGAAACAAAGAAACGUGUCGACCAUUUGGUGCGUUUCAUUCGUAGUUUCGGUGUCCGUUGCGGAGCCAUUCAUGGUGACAAGUCACAAUCGGAGCGUGAUUUUGUUUUGCGUGAAUUCCGUUCUGGCAAAUCAAAUAUUUUGGUUGCCACAGAUGUAGCUGCUCGUGGUUUGGAGGCCGAUUAUGAUGGUAUGGUGGGGAUAACAUGACACAAUGAAGGAUGUAAUUUUGUAUGUGUACUUGAUUGAAAUUGAAAAAAAAAGGCUCUCAACGACGCAUGGCAAUGUUUCGACGUAAUUAAAAUUUUAUAUUUUUUUUCGAAACUCAGCCAUGGUGUUGUGUAGUAGAAUGGUGUGCCCCAAGUUUAAUAUGGAAGCACACAACAAGAGUUAAAGAUAUAAAAAAAUACGUACAUAGCAUACACGAGGAGGUAUAUUUAACAUCAAACUGCUCCAUAGUUUGCGCCAUGUGUGUAUCUCUUCAAAAAAAAAAAUUAAAAAAAAACUUGACAGAGACUACAAAAAAUGUGCGAUGGCGCUCAAACUUAGGACAAGCCGAUAAGCAGUAUACCUCACACAAUAUUACAAACGGAUUUGUGUUCUAUACAGUAACGGACGAGCUACUUAACUAUCCCUAUCAUCACAAGAGUAAGGCCUCUGGUUGGGUUUUAAAAUAUCGUGUAUAAAUAAAUAAAGGGCAAAUAUUGAACAUAUAUAAGUUUAGAAAAAGAAAAGAAAAAUAAGCAAAACAAAAGCGGAUCGUGUAUACUUUUGGCGCUAGUUAAUGUAAAAGUAUAAAACAAAAAUGAAAAAAAGUACUUAAGUGGCGCAACAGAUUAUUGACGUUGUUGUACAUAUGGCAACCAAAUAAAAAAAAAACAACACAAUUGUUGCCGCAGGCAUUGCAUGGAAACGUUACCGCGCAAGUCUAAAAAUAUGCCACACGUGUCUCGCCUCACAACACACAAUACAUGACGCUUGAAACGAUUCAUUUUUUGCUUGAGUUGUGUUUUAGGGAAACUACUCUCUCCUAAAAAAUUCUAAAUAAAAAACAUAUCAAACAACUGCUGCUGCAGGCAAAAUCCACAAUAAAUGCAUCUCUAUCAAACCAAAAUGUGUUCUUUGGCAUAAAGUUUUAUUACAAAAAAUAUACAAGCUGAAACAGUCCGCCUCUGUAAUUCGUUGGAGUUGGAUUGUCUUAAAAAUGUGUGUUCAUUAAAAAAGAUAAAUUAUUAUAAAAUGAUGGACCUCACGAGAUUGUGGAUUAAGGGUUGCGCACAACAUUCAAUACAAUAUGGAAGUGUGUGGUCCUUAAGAGCAAUUAUUUGAUUGUCAUAUUCGCUGUGUAAUAAAAAAAUAAGGUCCCCGUUUUUUGUUGCUUUUAUUUAAGGGAAACAAAAAAUUAAAUAAAUUAACAAAAAUGCACACAGCAAAUUGAGAUAAAAAUAUAUAAUUAAAACAAAGGACACAUAAUGGGUGGGCGACGGAUAUGCAUAGAUGUUGUAUUAAAAAAGGAAAUGCCUGCUGCUUGUUCUGCUCCUCCUCUCUGCUUCUUCAAACACAACUCUUCUUCUUUUAAGUGUUCAAGAUGUGGACGGUAUUAAGUACGUGAUAAACUUUGACUACCCACAAUCAUCAGAAGAUUACAUUCAUCGUAUCGGCAGGACAGGUCGAUCAGAAACCAAGGGUACAUCAUAUGCAUUCUUUACAAAGAACAACGCCCGCCAAUCUAAGGCUCUUGUGGACGUUCUCCGAGAAGCUAAUCAGG